GUGCCCGUAGCUCAAUUGGAUAGAGCGUUGGCCUCCGAAGCCAAAGGUUGCAGGUUCAACUCCUGCCGGGCACA
rnacentral:tRNA from 2 species